CAAGAUGAUAGCUUAAGGGUCCACAGAGUGCAAAAAGAGAAACCCAUAGGCCUCCUUAAGGGUUCCUUCUAGGACUUAUACAAGGAAACAGAUUUGAUUGGUCAGAUCAGGGCAGCAGCACCUGUGUAAGACAAAAGACUUUUUUGUUUCAUCUAACUUUAAAUUUGGAAUCCUAAUGUAAACAGCAAU
rnacentral:lncRNA from 1 species